AGAAUAUAUAUACCCGCCAAUGUUACAAGCAUACUUUCUAUCGUUGCAGUGGUAAACAGUCACACCAUGCGAUCGGACAAAAAAGCCGCAGAGUGACUUAACGCGUGCGGCUUAUUGCGUCGCGGGCAUUGCACGGAUUUUCUCAGCUUCGCGCGUAGUAGAUCUCACUCUCGCUCGUGCCACGCGUGACUUAUUUUCUGCAUACGUCAGGUGUCUCGCGCAUUUUCUGCCGAGCGCGCGUGGCAUAUACCCUAACCGGGUUAGACGAAUGGAACGAUCUAAAAUGAUUCAAGGUGACGAAACGUGACGAUCGUGUGGUUAACGUUAAAAUGCGGUGACUAACUUGGAUAGAUAAGGAUUAAUUACGUAGAAAACUUGGCUCCUUUAUUUGUGACACGUACGUAUAUAGGUAUUGUAUUGUAAUUAUAUUGUAUCUAUUACGUGUUCCAGCAAAGGAAAGUUAUAUACACGAGUACUGCUUUUAUUUGAAGUUCCAUUUGUAUUUUCGAAUCAAAUUUUUUUCCUUUUACAAUAUGAUGCAAAGUGCUUGCAAGGUGUGAUCUGAUAAAUAUUUACUUGAAUAAAAUAAGACUUGAGAGAGCCAGGAAACGCGGGACUAUAUAGCUUCUGCGGAUACGAUAAAACACAAUGUGAGUCAUGCUAAUUUUUUUAAAUCAAUGUGCAUAUCUUUGGGCUGGCAAACAAUGCAACGAGUGAAAAGCGCCGUACACCGGUGGUGCUUAUCUGAAAACGUCCGAUAAGAAUGCGAACUUUUGCGCGAUGUAAGCGCAGUACAAUUUCAUAGAUUAACUCAUGUCUAAAAUAGUGCUGUGAAUCAUCAGUUUUUGAUUGCAUCGAUAUCAACUUUUCUCUUAUCAAUAUCUAAUCAAGUAUCAUACAUUUUUCGAUAAAAUUUUUGUAGAAUGAUGAAGCGAUAAAAUUAUCAAUUUGAGAAAUGUGUAACAAUUGACAAAUGCGUAACUACUUUCCUUCUACUUUUAAUUUCAAUUUGCAACAUCUAACAUCUACUUUAAUACUGCAGCAGCUUAGUGUUCUCUCUUUUAAACUAUUUAAUCUAUAGUUUUGAAUUGAGGUUGAAUGAGGAAACAAAUUUCGAUUUAGAAAUUUAUAUAUCUUCCCAAAAAUAUUAUAUGAAAUAUUCUAGGUAAUAAAAUAUGCAUAGUGAAUCCAUGUUUUCACAACGAUGCCGAUAACAAUAGCAACAAUAUUCCACAGAUUAUAUAACUUGAUUCAUAAGCAUCCUAACCAGGCGUGUUGCUCGACCAUGUUCUGCGACGAGGACCCAGCUUAAGAGGGUCCGAACACGGUCAUAGCGCGUUAUAUCAAACCUCCUGAUAACUCGCACGCCACAUCGGGAUGCUCCACGUGGCGGGUCAUGAAUCAGCCUUCGGAGACAACCUCGCUGGUGCAGCAACGGGCCGAUACGCCCGGAGAGCAGGCAUUUAAUCACGCGGAAAAGCUGACCGAAUAAACAGCGGUCGAUCUACUAGGCUAGGUGAACGAGGCGAUACGAGAAUGGAGCUUGUACCAGCGUGUACACAGGUGCGAGCCACGCGACGCUGCGUACGUGCGUGCAUGCUAGUCGAGGAGUCUUCUUCCUGAAUCUAUCUCUUGAUCGGGAAGAUCAAGCUGCAGAACGAGAUCAAGCAACGCAUGAAAAGAGUCAGUCUUGUGGAGGUACAAUCGAGCUUGAAAUUGAAGAAAAAGAAGCGCACCCCGAGGUACGAGAGGGUCGGUUAGAAUAAAGUUGAUUCUCGUAUUCUACAUAGAAGCAAGCAGUUUUGCUGCGCUCAUUGUCCUCUUCUAAUCGUUUCGUGCUCGAGCUCGGAAUGACUGGAUGCAGACGAGUCGUCUAGAAGCGAGUUGUCCUGAAAACGGAGUAACUGUGGAACGGGGGUAUACUUUGCGAAGGUAAUACUAAUAGCCUAGAGAUGUUCCAAGGAUGUGCGCGCACUUGUGGGCGGAAAUGGUAUCGUAAAGCGGCUAUUAUGACGCGGCUCGUCUUUUGUACGGAUAAUAAAGACGAUGAUGUUAUUAUUAUUACUACUACUAUUAUUAUAAUAUCGCGGCAUGGAAAACACACUUGUUUCCCUGGUAUCGUUACUCGAGAGAGCUUAACGUAAGAGACUGCCGGAAGGAACUUGAAAACAGGUUUACUGGGGAACAGAAGGGAGAUGGUAAAAUCCAGGAAAUGAUACUUAAGAAAUGCUAUAUAAUGAUGAAAGUUUAAGUCGAAAGAGAAAUAUGAUAAAAUGUAAUAUAUUGUGUCAGCUAAAAGAAAUUAAAAUUUAAUUUAUUGAAAGAUCCUUCAAAGAAAGAUAUAUUAAUGUGUUAUUAUCAAUAAUUAAUAUAUAAAUAAUUAUCUUGUACAAAAUAUUUUUUACGAAUUUAUAUCUCAGAUUUUAAGAUCGAUAUAAUGCACCAUUUGACAACUGCAGCGUAUAAUCGCCCAUUUCCUCCUUCAUUCUUACGUAAUAGCAAUACGUCAGCAGGUAAUCUACCGAGAGAUACGACGAAACUUUUAGACUAUGGCCGCAUAAAUAACUGGCUCCCUCAAUCUCAUCAUUCGUUUGCCAAAGAAGUUGCCAAGAAUUUUUACGGACGAUGGAAGAAUUGUUGAAUUUAACAGCUGCGCCAAACUUCGGAUCAGCGGACCGUGAACAGACUCACGAGAUGGCCCGUAAGAAGAUUUCAGAAAAAUAUUGCCCUGCGGCGCAGUGUUUAUGAUUCCCCUUGCAUCGCGAAAGCUUCAAUAGAUGUGAUAAAUAUUGAUAAACGCAAUAAAUAUUAAUGAAUACGG